rnacentral:rRNA from 1 species
GGCGGACGGGUGAGUAACGCGUGAGAAUCUGGCUCCAGGUCGGGGAUAACAGUUGGAAACGACUGCUAAUACCNGGAUGUGCCGAGAGGUGAAAGAUUUAUUGSCUGGAGAUGAGCUCGCGUCUGAUUAGCUAGUUGGKGGUGUAAGGGACCACCAAGGCGUCGAUCAGUAGCUGGUCUGAGAGGAUGAUCAGCCACACUGGGACUGAGACACGGCCCAGACUCCUACGGGAGGCAGCAGUGGGGAAUUUUCCGCAAUGGGCGAAAGCCUGACGGAGCAAUACCGCGUGAGGGAGGAAGGCUCUUGGGUCGUAAACCUCUUUUCUCAAGGAAGAAGAAAGUGACGGUACUUGAGGAAUAAGCAUCGGCUAACUCCGUGCCAGCAGCCGCGGUAAUACGGAGGAUGCAAGCGUUAUCCGGAAUGAUUGGGCGUAAAGGGUCUGCAGGUGGAACUGAAAGUCUGCUGUUAAAGAGUUUGGCUUAACCAAAUAAAAGCGGUGGAAACUACAGAACUAGAGUGCGGUAGGGGCAAAAGGAAUUCCUGGUGUAGCGGUGAAAUGCGUAGAUAUCAGGAAGAACACCGGUGGCGAAAGCGUUUUGCUAGACCGUAACUGACACUGAGGGACGAAAGCUAGGGGAGCGAAUGGGAUUAGAUACCCCAGUAGUCCUAGCCGUAAACGAUGGAUACUAGGCGUGGCUUGUAUCGACC